UAGAAGAUGAACCCUUUCCUUGUCCUGGA
rnacentral:piRNA from 1 species